AUGAGGAGUUUGACCUCAGAACGGAAAGAGGCAACGAAGGUGUGACAACCCGAAAUUUAUCCCGUCAUUUUUAACCUCAUUAUCUGUUAACCUUUUUGGAUUAGGUUAAUUUAAUUGAGACUUUUUAUUAUGACUUCUUAAGGGUUGGAACACAUUAGAAACACCCUCAAUAUCCCUUUGAAGAAUAUUAGUUACAACCAAGUUGAAAUACGACCAUUUAAUCGGGUGCGACCAAAAGCCUCGUUUAACGUCAGUAUCGGGUAGAUUUNACAGACUCAAACCCUAUAUAAGGGUGAGUGGAUUCCAUUUGAGACUUUUCACUCUCUCUCUACACUCUCUCUCUACAACUUGCUUUCGAUCCAAAAAUGCUCAUUUCGAGCCCCAAACUAGUAAGUAAUCUACCCUAACUUGUUGUUAAGCUCAUUUAACAUGCAAAUUCGUGUUUAAGACAUCAAAUAGGGGCCAAUUAAUGUGUUUACAGCCCAAGAACACUCUUGGACCGUAAACACCCAUAAGUGGGGUUUUGAAGCCCCAAAACCCUUCCAAAUCACUCCUAGGGCUUAGAUAUGACUUGUAGACUUGCAUGUGCGAGCUUAGAACACCAAAACCUUGCAUUUUGGAGAGUAAACUUGAGUUUACGGCCCAAUAACACUCUUGUACCGUAAACCCCUCUCCAAGGGCCGUGAACACCUUUUAAGGUGUUAGAAUUUCCCUCAAACACCUCCUAAGGCUUAGGAAAAUGUCUAGAAUCAACCACAAACGAAGUAGGGGAUUUAAACUUCAAUUAAACCAUGGACAUAGGAUUUUACGGCCAUAAACCCCUCAAGGAUUGGUCCAUGGGCCGUAAACUCCCAAAAAGUGGCCAAAUGAUGCCCUAACACCCCCAUUUGACUUGGAUUAAUGCUUAGAACUUUAUACUCUAUCAUUUAAGGCCUAAAUUCAUGAAGGAAAUGACCAAGUGAGAGUUUAUGGCCGUAAACUCCUUGUUUUGGGCCGUAAACUCCUUAAAUGGUCCAUUUGGAGCCUUAAACCCCUUUAUAAGCCUUAUAUUUGGACCUAGCCUAAUUCUAAGAGUGAGAUAAGACCUUAAAUCAUCCAAGAGCACACCACCCAUGAGUUUACGACCGUAAAAUCAUGGGGAUAUGGUCUUAGGGCCGUAAACUCUAUAAAUAGUUUACUCUUGAAGAGUAAACUCCUUAUCUAGGCCAUACACUCCCUUAUUUGCAACCCAAUAGCCUCCUAGCACUUUACCAAAGUGUUUUCCGCACAUUAGGAAUGCGUAUACGUGUUUAAUUAGUAUUAUAAUUACUAACUGUAUGUAAAAAUAUGUCAUCAUAUGUUAAUAGGUCACUAAGUGUGUUCAAGUCUUAAAUUGACACCGAGCACCCAACCGGCACCUCCAUCCGAUCCACUUUCAGCAGGUGAGUUCAUACCCUUGAAUUAACCUUUUAAAUGUUUUUACAUGCNGUUUUGCCAAGUAUAAUACUAUAGAUGGUUUUCCAAAACGUCUUUACGUGUUUAAAUCUUUUCUUAAAUUGUCUCUCGUGCUGUAUGUUUUACUUCUAAACCAGUUACAGCAGUGUUUUAAACAAUGCUUUUUCUUUACUUAUAUUGUGUUAUCAAAUUAUAUUCAAAACGUGUUUAUGAACGAUUUUCAAAGCAUGUUUUACAUAACGAUAUUAAGUCGUAAAUUCUUAUUUUUUUAAAGGUUUUAUCAAAGUUUUCGUCUAUACUUCUAGGCUUCUACUUUGUUAAAUGCAUGCAUGUACUUGUAUAGUUAUAUAAAUAAUGUUUAAAAGGAAGGUUAGUUCGCCCUAUUUCCUUUUCCUCAUUGGGAUGUGGUCUGGUGGGUAUCGGAUAUCCGUACGAAGGUCGUUUAAACAUUAAUUAUAUAUCAGGUAUACACGUAUAGACAUAAGGGUUUACAUUGACCAGUUCAUUUCCCUUGGGUAGCAAGGGCAUCCUUCCAUUCAUCAUUCAUAGAUCAGAGACACUAGUAACUAUUAUAGGAAUAGUUAGGAGGCUCUAUUCACUCUUUCUAGUAUGAGAAUUCCAAAGGAGUCAGUUCAUUCGUGAGUCCAUAUCAUUUCUCCAACGCCUCUAAUAGAAUUCAGAAUACGAGAUGCAUCUUCAGGACACGGAUCUCCCCGUCGUCAAGUUGGUAACCUGAGUCUCCUGGAGGGAGCGGGCAUUGUGUGUAUAUAUCUAUACGGGACUGACACUCCCGCACCCUGACUGCUAGCUACAGUCUACGGCCUACCAAGCCAACGGGUGACAAAUGUCAUAUUUAUUCCGAUGCUUGCGGGGCGUCAAGUACUCUAGUGUCAAUCAGUAUGGUUACAAGUAUCUCCAUGCUUACCUUAUAAUUCAUGGCCUUAGGGUAACGAGAAUUAACACUGUAUUCUUGAAACAACACUCUUAGGAUUACCCUUUGUUUUAGACCUUGCUAGCUGUAUCGUUCAUUUGAUACUGUAUGGGGUGUGUGUUUCUUUGUUUUAGACUUUCCUAGCCGUAUCGUUCAUUUGAUACUGUCUAGGGUCUGUGUUUCUUUGUUUUAGACCUUGCUAGCUGUAUCGUUCAUUUGAUACUAUCCGGGGUUUGUGUUUCUCUGUUUUAGACCUUGCUAGCUGUAUCGUUCAUUUAAUAUUUUCGGGGUCUAUGUUUCUUUUUUUAGACCUUGCUAGCCGCAUCGUACAUUUGAUACCAUCUGGGGUCUGUGUUUCCUUUUGCUAGACUGAGCCAGGCGUAUCAUUCGUUCGAUACUCUCCCGGAGUCUAUGAUUUCUUUUGCCUUAGUUAGCAGUAUUUUCUGCUGAGGCAUAUGUUAUUUUCCCCUAUUAUUUUUCUAGUGAUAUUCUCCUACUUUGUUUAAAGUCAAAUACCGUAUUUUGGUAAUGAUAGUAUUUCAGGGAAAAUUCUCUUUAAAACAUAACAUUGUCGAGUCUUGGUAGAAGACUGCUUUUAAUUAGAAAAUAUAGGAUUUUCUGGAAAGGACGCUAAUACACCGUAGAACCUAAACUACUACUUUUUAUAAAGUUAUUUUGAAUAAAAUGCUUACUUACACAAAUGACACUCUACUUCCUUUUCCUCGUUGGGAUGUGGAUAUAGAGUAGUAUCACAUAUUCGAAGGCCUAUCGGAUCUAAGCUAUAUAUGAUUUGUGUACCCUAUGUAAUUGUAGCAGGACUUGAUAUGGAUCACCCAGUGAAAUGUUAAUAAUCUCUUAGGAUUCUUUAGACAUUUCCAUUCUCGCACGAACCCUGUAGAAAACCCUAUCCACUUCAGUGUUCGACCGAAGAGUUGAUUCAGACUCAGAAGAGGUUCAUUGAGAAGAUUUCCCGUUCAGAAAUAAAUGAACCAAGACGAGACUACUGAAACCACCAAGUGCCUAUACCUCUUAGGGACAUCGGUGGGAAAUUCGCCUGAACUUCCGAGAUUUCUAUUCAUCCGUCAUGAAGUGAUGACACCUAGAGUUAGAAUCGUGAGUAAGACAGAGUAGAGAUUCAGUACGUCUACAAGAGAAGAGAACCCUAGGUAACUACCCGAAGAAAAGCAAUGCCGGUCCCAGUCAAGGAUAUGAGGUAGACAAAGGGAGCCAGUACAUGGAACCCGAGAAGUGCCUUUUUCCGCGUUAUUGUCGCGCUAAUACACCCAUAAAAUAAUAAAAUAUAGUGAGUUGGUGAUUACACUACUCACGCUAUGUGUUAGGUAAAUCGCCUUUUCCCGUCGCAAGUAAUACGAUUAGAGCGGAUCCUAACACCUCGAUUGAGAGUGUUUAUCCAUAAGUCUUCAGGAGCCUUUCUUUCCACAAUCUUCGUUCCGAACUGUCCUCAGAUCUUUCCAAGCCGGAGAGUGAACCUUUCCAUCAUAAAGAUGACUUAACGACUCCCAUCUUAUGGCCUUCCGAUAUUCUUACUCCUACCUUGAUACCCAGACUGCAUCAUAGGGAUGUAGGUCGACACUCAGACAACCAAUAUCCGAGGCGCGGGAAAAAUUUAUGCCUAAUAUAGUAAGGAUAGAUACGUAUAGAGUUAAACAUCAUUUCUCAUCAACUUGUGUUCCUUCCGUGUAGGAAAAACCAUGCCUUCGAAGAAGCGAAACCAAUCCACUGGCAAGAAACCGACUCUCCUAUUCGAUGAAGCUACGUUCCAAGCUGCAGUCUCGGCAGCCGUAACAGCUGUCAUGGCUCAACUAAAUGCUAACAACGCCAAUGUUAGCAAGAGCCCUAUCGGGAUUCCCGAUCCUAGUAAUGGACAGCAGCAACCAACCUCUGUGUACCUAGCCACCCAAGAACCUCAACCAAAUCCACUGAAGAGAAAGAUCAUACCUAGGAGACCCUACUGAGGAAACCUUCCCCGUUGCGGCAAAUGCAGCUACCAUCAUCAUGGUAUAUGCCGGGAACUCAGUUGUACUAGGUGCAACAUGAAGGGGCAUACCACUCACGUCUGCAGAAACCCGAUUGAGUUCAUUACAUCAACCACCAAUGUGGCGGCCAGUCCAAUAUGCCCUCUAUGUGGCAAGAUUGGACACCCCAAGAAGGACUGCCCAACUGAAGGAGACGACAAUGGCGCAGGAGGAGUCUAACUCUAAAUGCAUAGGGAGAAGCAUCAAGGAACCCGGUAGAUUUUGGUACAUCUCUCAAUCUCAGAUAUCUAAGCAAAGACAUUAAAAGACUAAUUCUAAAAUGUAAUUACUCCCCCGUUAAGGCGAAAGUCGCAGCACUGUUAUAAAAUUUAAAAUUUCAUAACAGGUAAAACUAUAAGUGCCCGAUAUAUACAUUAAAGCCAUGUAUAAUUAAGAUGGAUAGACCUAGAGUGAGUGAUGCUGCCUCAUUUCCUGUUCCUCGGUUGGUUGUGGAUUUAGGGCGGAGUCGCUCAGUCAACAAUCCUCCCCACCUUAAUUAUACAUGACUAGUAUAUGUCAGGCGAUUAUAGAAAGGCCUCAUGAGAAUCCAUUCAUGAAAGGUACCCUAUUCAGAAACACUCAGGACCCUCUAUAGUUCCGUGUCGACUCUAUCAGUCCAAGUAUCCGCGAUAGUGAUACACGAGAUGAAACCUGAGACGCCAAGAACUUGUGCCCGUUCAGCACAUGACCCUAUCGACCCUCAUUCUAUAUCAUUUCGAUGUUUUCCAACUUCGACGCCUCUAUCAAUCAUGGUUCGACUUAGUGCAACCAUGUGUAAAUCCCUAGUGCUGUGUAAAAAGAACUUUCACCGUAGCCAUUUCGGCAAAUAAAGGUUCUUCCGAACCUAAAUAUAAUAAAAACUAAUGAGAUCCGUUAGUCAUCCCUCUUAUUGCAAACCUUCCGAAGUACCCAGGAGAAGGGUACCGCGCGCUGUUAACCAACCCCUCCAUAGACAGAUAGAAACUGAAGCAUACUCCGUAGAUCCCCCAGAAAGCCCCUUCGCACCUCACAAUCAGGUUCGUGAAUCAAGAGGAUAGAACUCAUGGGACGUAUUACCAUAACUGAGUAUAUGCAUAAGGGUGGUAUAUAAUUGAGAUCAAAAAGAUUUAAGAUGUGUGCUUCCUCCCUACUCCAUGUUCCUCUUUGGGUUGUGGGUCUGGGGUGGAGUCGCACAACUGAACAUCCUGCCGACCUCAAUUAUAUACGGCUUUCAUACACAAAGUAUUAGUGGUUAAGCCAAGUAUGAGCUCUACCACGAACCUCAUAGUAGAAACUCUUCAUCCUAUCCCUUAGAAUAGGAACUAGAGUCAAGAGAACCACUGCGGGUUGAGCUACUAUAACGACCACAAAUCCGAAAUUUGUUUUCAUCCCGGUUUAGCCAACAUAGUAGAUAACACCCUCAAUUGGUAAGGAUAUCUGAGUCGUAAGAGUCAAGUACAUUGACUACGACCAUCCACUCACGCUUAAUCCCCCGAAUUAAGCAUCUCAGCGGAUAUCCCGGAAAUCUGGAAGCUGCGAUAGGUUAAACUUUGAGAAGAAUGGAUGAGGAGACUAGAAGUUCCAAGUAACGAAACCCUAUACCUCUAGACUUAACCUAAAUCAAGAAAACUCAGAACCCCCAGAAGAGUAGUUGCAGAAGAUUCUCGCACUACUCAGGCACUUCGUCCACCCUAUUACCGAUGAAUAAUGCAUAGGACACUCCGCCUCCUUACGUGGAAGAAGUCACCGUCGCCCUGUAGACGAUAGACUGCAUUCUCCGAAGUGAAUACUAGAAUGCUAAGAACCACAGAAUAACCUCUAUAGCCAAGAAUACUUGAAUAAAGUGCGAAAGUAGGUUGCGUUAAGCCUUAUAACCCAGAUCCCGAAGAGAUUAUAGACUUGACGCCAGUCUAGGUGUUAGUCGAUGGGUUAUACAAGAGCACGCGCUUUCUGCAACUGGAAUAAACCAACACCUUAGAAAAUAGGGCAUGUCUUAGAGAUUAUUAGGACUACUAGGUGUUCCAAGAAUACGAUCUCACGCAGAGAUAGUAGAAUUACCUCCCGAGAUAGUCCAACACUUCAGAAGAAUUCUCUAAGGAUUGAGUUAGCCCUGAGCAGAGCUUGUUGUUUAUGAAACAGCAAAGCAUGUAAGAGCAUGAUUCUUUCCCGUUAGGAAUCAUAUUGUGAAAGUGUCAACUAGAUGAUGAUGAAAAGUUUAAAAACCUUCUAAACAAUCGUCUGGUCGAAACCCUAUCUCACCGACCCUGACAGUUUCCGUUAGAAACAUCUCAAGAAUCAGAAGUGCAGGUUCAUUUUGCACAGGAUUGAGAUAGUCACCUUGCAGCAAACAAAUACCCGUAGACACCCAAUUCAACCAAUGAUCCAGAAAACCUCUGAAAGCCAAUCGACAGGAAACACGAAUCCAAGGAUAACCCGAGCUUUCUAAGAACCAACCUGAAGGACUACACUCCCAGUAUGAGAGAACGUUUGGAACUUCAGAAUGGCGAUCACGCCAGUGAUGAUCUCACCAUAGAAGUACACUAUGUUCUAAGUACCAAAAAGCUCUACCCUUCCGAGAGCUUAGGACCAUCCGAGAUUCUUUACAAAGAUUGGCCCAACCCUCGUCAGACCACGACUACUUUCGGAAAAUUCCAUAAGUUUCGCCCCAAGUCAAUCCACUCCUUAGGCUUGAAAAGUGUUUGCCCGACGUCACUCUUUAUAUCCCACUCAUCUUGAUAGAAACCACUGGGAACCCUAACUUCGCAGGCCCACUUGUAGGAAUCGCUAACAGAAUGAAACAAAAUCCGCAUCCCGCAAGUGAAGAUUUGUUAGAACGCCAAGCAAAGACCAGAGUUCACUUGGGAGUGCGAGGACCAACCAAAUAGUAAGUACCCUCAUACCUCUACCCGAUUGUUCAUGCCUAUUUCCUUGCCUAAACCUGAAUUUCGGGACGAAAUUCCCUCUAACGGGGGGAUGAUGUGACAACCCGAAAUUUAUCCCGUAAUUUUUAACCUCGUUAUCCGUUAACCUUUUAGAUUAGGUUAAUUUAAUUGGGACUUUUUAUUAUGACUUCUUAAGGGUUGGAACACAUUAGAAACACCCUCAAUAUCCCUUUGAAAAAUAUUAGUUACAACCAAGUUGAAAUACGACCAUUUAAUUGGGUGCGACCAAAAGCCCCGUUUAACGUCAGUAUUAGGUAGAUUUCCACCGAGCCACAGACUCAAACCCUAUAUAAGGGUGAGUGGAGUCCAU
rnacentral:lncRNA from 1 species